rnacentral:rRNA from 1 species
AGUGAACGCUGGCGGCAGGCCUAACACAUGCAAGUCGAACGGCAGCACAGUAAGAGCUUGCUCUUACCGGUGGCGAGUGGCGGACGUGUGAGGAAUAUAUCCGAAUCUACUUUUUCGUGGGGGAUAACGUAGGGAAACUUACGCUAAUACCGCAUACGACCUACGGGGGAAAGCAGUGGAUCUUCGGACCGUGCGCGAUUGAAUGAGCCGAUGUCGGAUUAGCUAGUUGGGGGGGUAAAGGCCCACCAAGGCGACGAUCCGUAGCUGGUCUGAGAGGAGGGUAGGCCACACUGGAAGUGAGACGCGGACCGGACUCCUACGGGACGGAGCAGUGGGGAAUGGUAGACAGUGGGCGGGAGCCUGGUCCAACCCUCCCACGUCGGUUGAAGCAGCCUUCCGGUUGUGAUGCCCUUUUGUUGGGAAAGAACAGCAGCCGGUUGAUACCCCGCUGUUCUGACGGUACCCAAGGAAUAAGCACCGGCUAACUUCGUG